UCCACCUUCCCGGAGCUGGAAGUGAACCCUGACUGCCUCUCGACCGACCGUGACCGCCAGCGCAGCACGGGCUCCGCGCAGACACUGCAGGGACAGAGGUGAGCAGGGGGAGCCUGGCUCUGCCUCGAAGGCUCAGAGAUGACAGGACUGGCAGCCGAUAAACAAGGAUGCAUUCAAGGUCGCUGUGGAGGCACCGGACCCAGGCUGGGGCAGGGAGAAGAUGUGAUUAUUCCAGGCGAGGCAGAGGGCAAGAGCCCCGGGCAACUGGCAGCAAGGAAGGCUACUUAGCAGGGUGCAGACCCAGGGCCUGGCAGAGAGACCCAGCUCACGCGGGGCUUGCCAAGGCAGGGAACUUCUGGGACCCACGGUCUCCUGGAGUGGAGGGGCGCGGUCGAGGACAUAUCCUCCCAAGUGGGCCCUUGGCCUUCUCUGAGCCCCUGGCCCAAGGCCUCAGCCCUGAAGGCCUUCCCCUGGCUGCUGUCGAGGGGGUGUAGUGAUGUGACCGGCCCCCUCACUGCUGACCCAGCUGGCAGCGCCCAGAGUGUCCAACCCCAUGGAGCCGAGUCACACAGACCAAGCGUCAGUCAUCAGGGCGGCCUCCAAGCCCGGAAGGAGGCGGCAGGCAGUCUGAUCGUGCCCAGGAGAAACUCUCUGGGCACCAAGACACCAGGAUCGUAGGCCAGGCUCUGCCUCAGCCGGGGGGCUGUGGGCAAGUCCCUGGUCCUGUGUGGGACUCAGUUUCCUCAGCUGUCACAGACAAAGGGCUUCCCAACUUCCCCAGGGCUGCAAUGGGUGCCUGGCUGGCCUCCCGCUUGUGCUGGGCAGGGCCAGGCUUUAAGGCGGGUGCCACCAGGCUGCCAGGCCUGUGGGGCAAGGGGAAGCAGCACGGCAGGAACCAUGCUAGUGCUGGCCAGCAGCUGCCAUGCACCCAGCACUUUCUGUGGGUCCGGCACUGCUGCCUACAGCACCUGACAUGUUUAGUCCUCACAAAAGCCCAGCACUGUUGCUGCCACUGUCCCCACUUCACAGAUAAGGAAACUGAGGUGCAGAGAGGUCAUGUAACUCAGGCAAGGUCUUGGGGUCAGCAGAGUCGAGGUACAAACUCAGGUGAGUGGGCAUCUCAUGCUCUCAACCAGCAGGCUGCACCCCGUGGUCUCAGGGCUAUGGAGUGAUGGGUGGGGGGGAGCGGUGGAAAACAAGGAGGUGUAGAGGGGGGUGUCCCACGAUCCUCUGCUGCUCUGCCGCCACCGUUCAUCUGCAGACCCUUUCAGCAUACCUGCCCCUCAACUGUGUUUUGAAGAGUUUUGUGCAUAAGUGAGACGCAUGUGAUGAUUCACGAUAAAGCCACGACGUUUCGGUGGACAGACCUCAGUGUGACGGUGGCCCCGUAAGAUCAUGGCAGAGCUGAAAACUUCCUGUCACCCAGCGACGCUGCAGCCCUCCAAACAGGCGGCACCCUGCUUUGCUCACACGUGCGUGAUGGUGCAGGUGCAAACAAGCCUACUGCCGGCUGGCCGGCCAGGUGCACGAAAGCAGGGCAGACACAACUGUGUGCAGCACACGCCUGUUGCCAGUGACAACAAACGACUGAGCUACAGGUUUCUGUGUUUCUGCACCAGAGUUUCUACCACAUUCUAGAGUGUGCUCUUUCUAAGCGUGCAAGGACUUCGCUGGGAGCCUGUGCGCUGUGCCACACCAGCAGCGGCCUCACCCAGCUCCUGUCCGCUUCCUCUCAUGGCGUCGUCCUCUCCCGUGCCCGGUUCAGUCGCACCUUGUUCUGGGCACUAAUGCUCUGCACGGGCUGGCAGCCCAGGAGCGGCAGGCUGUACCAGACGGCCCGGGUGUGUGGGAGGCUCCAUCUAGGUCGGAACUGCCCUCUCCGUGAGGGCCGAGGACAGCAGCGGGCAGUCGGCUGUGUCUGUCAUCACUGCAGUCGUGCAUCACUUAAUGACGGGACACACUCUGACAGACGAGUCCUGGCUCUGGGGGACCCCUCUCUGCACCGAGGCUUGUGCAGGCAGUGCUGGGGGAGGCUGCUGGGCGCCAGGUGGGGUGUGCUCGGUUGCUCACCACCCUUCCCUGAGCCUGACUUGACCCUUCGGGCUCCCUCCUCUGGCCUCCUGCCUCCAGCCCACCCCCAUGCCGCUGCCAGACUCCCCUCCCCAGGCAGACUCUCCCAGGCUUCUGCUGCAGCCGCGUGUCCCGGGGCCCCUCUGCGCCCCUCCUGUGGCCCUGGCCAUCCCCAUGCCUGGGCGCCCCUCACCUGGCCACACCAGCCGAGCCAGACCCAGGAGUCCGCCUGGCCCUAACCUGCCCCGUCUUAAGCACACCCUCAGUCCACGCGGCUGCUGCCUGCCCCCGAGCACUCACACCUUCCACACCCAGGACCAACUGCCCCCUUCUCCAGGUCCUCUGGGGCCCUUCCUCCAGCCAGGGCUGCAUCAGGUCCACAGAGGCAAGAGUCUCCACCGGACGCACUGCACGGGCACCCCCGAUGGAUAGCACAGUCCACAGCCGCAGACUCGCUGCCCAGUGAGGGGCUGGGCCUCAGGCUCUUGGAGGCCUUGCAGGCCUUGCCUGUCAUUGACUCCACGUACCCGACGAGAUGGGGAGCGUCUUUAGUGCCUAGAAAACUCUUCCUCCAUCCUGCCGAAGCUCGACUCUCACCCCUGCAGGGGGGGGCUCCUGGCUUUCUGCAGACCCUCGAGGACGCCUGCACGCACCAGGGAGGAACCACAGGAAGUGGGAACCCCAGCCUCUGGCACCACACAGGCCUGGUUCAACUCUUGCCUCUUCUGAUUAUUUGCUGAGUGACUUUGGGCAAGGGACUCCACCCUCUGCACCUGAGCUUUGACACCCAAGGGUGGGUCUUGAAGGUGUUGGUGAGGAGGGAGCUAGGAAUGCUGGGAAGCACCCAGCACAGAGUUGGGUCGGCAGGGCUUCCUCGUGGCACCACUAGGUGCUGAGGGGUACCCUGGUUUCUGCACACUUGCCUGCUCCCUACCCUCCGCUGGUGCCCAGUGCAGGCCGAGUUCCCCGUGGGUCCACAUGAGAGCAGGAACAAAGACUCCAGGAACAAAGAUUCAGAAGCUGCUGGCCUGGAACGGGAGGGCGCACACGGAGCCAGUUUUUCCACCCCUGGAGAUAAGACAGGAGAUCGAAAGUAGGAAGGCCCCUGCGGGACUGCAGUCGCCGUGACCUCACCCAGCCACCCGGGCCUGCGUCCCACCUCUCUGCUCAGGGCCUCAGUAUGGACAGUCCCUUGGCCUGGACGGGUGAUGCCCCCUACUGGCUGACUCUCCUUCACCUCCCUGUCGUCACCCGAUGCCACCGUGUCGGAGAGGCCUUCCCUGACCCUCCGUCCAAUCCGGCACCACGCCCUCACCGCCAUCUCCCGCCCAGCGCUGUGUGCCUCCCCACCUGUCUGGCCCGGAAGGCAGACUCCCGCGAGGCAGGGGUAUCUGUCUGUCCCUUCCGUUCCUCCUCUGACCUUCUCUGCCUGGCGCAGAGCAGACGCUCGGUAAGCCUUUCUCAGGGGGAUGACCUGUGGCCGACGAGUGCGGCCGAGGCUGCACACCGAGCUCUGUGGCAGCCCCUUUUCUGAACGGUUCCUGGGAGCCCCCCGGGCAAAAAGGGGGACUCCACGGGACAGGCAGUGUGACCCAGACGGCGACUGAACCUGAAGACACGCGGUCCGGCUGACAACAACAGUGGGAGGAAGGGUGACGAGGAACACCACGGGAAACAAGUUGCAAACACAAGUCACGGGACGAGCAGGAAGGCGGCGUGACUGUCAACAGCGGUCUCUGGGCCCGGCCCACUGGGAGGGAAAGCACCGCAGCCGGCCACGCAGCCGCCCCAGCCACAUCCCUGCUCGCCCCGCAGCUUGCCCUCUGACAAUCAACACCUGUUUUCCGAUCCACCUUUGAACCCCCUUUCACAACUUUCGCCACGCCUACCUCUGGGACCGUACAUCAUUUAAACCUGUUCUUCACCUCGAUUCACUUCGUAAGGCAAAAGUCAACUCUACCUUCAUCCUAAGCAAUUAGAUCGUGAAACCACAAACGGAAGGGCUCAUAAUAUAUACACACACACACACGUGUCACAAGUGGGCACAGGUAACCAGGUUCCUGGUGAUCGAGGACAAAGAAUUGAACUAAACACACAGAGAGUUUCUAGCAGAGAGAGAUAGAGUUAGAGUUAGAGAUAGAGAGAGAGAGAGAGAGAUGUAUUAAGCAAUAGUGCACUCCACGGGACAUGGAAGUGGGCCAACUCUGAGCAGAGAAUGACCUCCUGGGCUGGAGGGUUCCUGUUCGUAUAGGGUGGAUAUUUCCUGGCUAGUUUUGGUGGGCUUUUACUGCGCAUGUACAAGUAGUUGUAUUACUUUAAAGCUACUGUGCAUGCGGUCUCCCACGAUUUUCCGUGACUGGCCACCGGAGAAGGGGGUUGCACGGUGCUGAUUUAUGACAAUGCUGCUACAAUGAAGCCGGGUCACGCCGCAUCUGUGCAGGUGAAGUCACCAUUCACCAUGACUCAGCGCUUUUCCAGACACCGGGAACCGCUGGUCUUAGAGCAGGGUCUCUGUCCAGUACGGAUGUCCUUUAUCUCAGCCCUGGGGCCCCUCCGGAGUUUCCUCCUUCCCGACCACCUCCUGCCUCAUACGCACAAAGGUAUUUCCUAAGGUUUAUUAAAAUGAAUGUGAAGCUGUUUUUUCAAAUGUCCAUGUA